UGGGGAAUAUUGCACAAUGGGCGCAAGCCUGAUGCAGCGACGCCGCGUGAGGGAUGGAGGCCUUCGGGUUGUAAACCUCUUUCGCCAGUGAAGCAGGCCAUCUUCUUUGUGGGGUGGUUGACGGUAGCUGGAUAAGAAGCGCCGGCUAACUACGUGCCAGCAGCCGCGGUAAUACGUAGGGCGCGAGCGUUGUCCGGAAUUGUUGGGCGUAAAGAGCUCGUAGGCGGCUGGUCGCGUCUGUCGUGAAAUCCCCUGGCUUAACUGGGGGCUUGCGGUGGGUACGGGCCGGCUUGAGCGCGGUAGGGGAGACUGGAAUUCCUGGUGUAGCGGUGGAAUGCGCAGAUAUCAGGAGGAACACCGGUGGCGAAGGCGGGUCUCUGGGCCGUUACUGACGCUGAGGAGCGAAAGCGUGGGGAGCGAACAGG
rnacentral:rRNA from 1 species